ACUCAAAUGAAUUGACGGGGGCCCGCACAAGAGGUGGAGUAUGUGGUUUAAUUCGAAGCAACGCGAAGAACCUUACCUAGGCUUGACAUAGUGUGAAAAGCGCAGAGAUGCGUAAUAGUCGCAAGACACACAUAUACAGGUGCUGCAUGGCUGUCGUCAGCUCGUGUCGUGAGAUGUUGGGUUAAGUCCCGCAACGAGCGCAACCCUUUCCCUUAUUUGCCAUCAUUAAGUUGGGAACUAUAGGGGUACUGCCGAUGAUAAAUCGGAGGAAGGUGGGGAUGACGUCAAGUCCUCAUGGCCCUUACGUCUAGGGCUACACACGUACUACAAUGGCCAAAACAAAGCGAUGCAAAGCCGAGAGGUGGAGCCAAACGCAAAAACAUGGUCUCAGUUCGGAUUGUGGUCUGCAACUCGACCACAUGAAGUUGGAAUCUCUAGUAAUCGCAGAUCAGCAGGCUGCGGUGAAUACGUUCCCGGGCCUUGUACACACCGCCCGU
rnacentral:rRNA from 1 species